rnacentral:rRNA from 1 species
AACGAACGCUGGCGGCAUGCCUAACACAUGCAAGUCGAACGAGACCUUCGGGCCUAGUGGCGCACGGGUGCGUAACGCGUGGGAACCUGCCCUUAGGUUCGGAAUAACUCCCCGAAAGGGGUGCUAAUACCGGAUAAUGUCUUCGGACCAAAGAUUUAUCGCCUUUGGAUGGGCCGGGGUUGGAUUAGCUAGUUGGUAGGGUAAAAGCCUACAAAGGGGAGGAUCCAUAGCUGGCCUGAGAGGAGGAUCAGCCACACUGGGACUGAGAGAAGGUCCAGACUCAGGAGGAAGCCAACAGUGGGGAAUAUUGGGCAGUGGGCGGAAACCGAAUCCAGAAAGGGCACGUGUGUGAUGAAGGUCUUCAGAUGGUGAAGCACUUUAGGUUGGGAGGAAGGGCAGUGAGUUAAUGCCUUGCUGUAUUGACGAUACCAACAGAAUAAGCGCCGGCUAGCUUCGUG